UUUAACAUGAUGGACUAUAGGACAGGACUGCUGCUUUUAACUGUCUGCUGGGCAGGUGUUGAUGGUCAGACUCUGACAGAAUCUGAACCAGCUGUUAAAAGGCCUGGAGAAUCCCACAGAUUGACCUGUAAAACCUCUGGAUUGUCCUUCAGCAGCUACAGCAUGGCCUGGAUCAGACAGGCUCCUGGAAAAGGACUGGAGUGGGUUGCUACUAUAAGCGAUGGCAGUAGCUACAUCUACUACUCUCAGUCAGUUCAAGGCCGGUUUACCAUCUCCAGAGACAACAGCAAAGAGCAGCUGUAUCUGCAGAUGAACAGUCUGAAGACUGAAGAUUCUGCUGUUUAUUAUUGUGCUCGAGAGUCACAGUGACUGGAGUUGGUUGAGCAGCUGUACAAAAACCUACAGAUCUCACCAUUACUGUGCUGAUAGAUCCUGAGAAAGACUUCUGUUUUCUUUUACAUUUUUGUUGUUGUUGUAUUUAAUUAAACCGGGAAAUCAGGCCAUAGUUUCCUAGAUCAUCAUUAACCAACAGCAAUAAAUACAUAAAUAAAAAGUACUUAAUGUAUUAAUCACUUCAUCACAAAACAGCCAAUGACAUCAUUGUCCAGGUUUGAAACAAGAAAUACUACAUGUACACAUUUCAGUCAAAUUAAUUUAUUUAAGUAAUUUGGCAUCUCAUAAUAACAAUGUUGCAGUUCCUAUUUACAAACACUAGAGGGCAGGCAGGGUCAAGUUUCUCUCUCCUCUGUCUCUAUAAGGAGACUCUUAUGU